CUACGGGACGCAGCAGCGAGGAAUAUUGCACAAUGGGGGGAACCCUGAUGCAGCAACGCCGCGUGGGGGAUGACGCAUUUCGGUGUGUAAACUCCUUUUAUAUGUCAAGAAAAUGACGGUAGCAUAUGAAUAAGCACCGGCUAACUCCGUGCCAGCAGCCGCGGUAAUACGGAGGGUGCAAGCGUUACUCGGAAUCACUGGGCGUAAAGGACGCGUAGGCGGGUUGGAAAGUCAGGUGUGAAAUCCUACAGCUUAACUGUAGAACUGCACUUGAAACUUCUAAUCUAGAGUAUGGGAGGGGGAGAUGGAAUUAGUGGUGUAGGGGUAAAAUCCGUAGAUAUCACUAGGAAUACCUGAAGCGAAGGCGAUCUCCUGGAACAUUACUGACGCUAAGGCGUGAAAGCGUGGGGAGCAAACAGGAUUAGAUACCCCUGUAGUC
rnacentral:rRNA from 1 species